AUUAGAGGCACUGCCUGCCCAGUGACGACCGUUAAACGGCCGCGGUAUUCUGACCGUGCAAAGGUAGCAUAAUCACUUGUUCUCUAAAUAGGGACUUGUAUGAAUGGCCACACGAGGGUUUUACUGUCUCUUACUUCCAAUCAGUGAAAUUGACCUUCCCGUGAAGAGGCGGGAAUAUAUUAAUAAGACGAGAAGACCCUAUGGAGCUUUAACUACUUAGCCCAAAGAAACAAACUUUAUUACUAAGGAAACAACAACACUCUUUAUGGGCUAACAGCUUUGGUUGGGGUGACCUCGGAGAACAAGAAAACCUCCGAGCGAUUUUAAAGACUAGACCUACAAGUCGAACCACACAAUCGGUUUAUUGAUCCAAAAAUUUGAUCAACGGAACAAGUUACCCUAGGGAUAACAGCGCAAUCCUAUUCAAGAGUCCAUAUCGACAAUAGGGUUUACGACCUCGAUGUUGGAUCAGGACAUCCCGAUGGUGCAACCGCUAUCAAAGGUUCGUUUGUUCAACGAUUAAAGUCCUACGUGAUCUGAGUUCCAACCGGAGAAA
rnacentral:rRNA from 1 species